rnacentral:rRNA from 1 species
GCAAGUCGAGGGGUAACAGAGAAGCUUGCUUCUGCUGACGACCGGCGCACGGGUGCGUAACGCGUAUACAAUCUACCUUAUACAGGAGGAUAGCCCGAAGAAAUUCGGAUUAAUACUCCAUAACACUAUGAUAUCGCAUGAUAUUAUAUUUAAAGUUCCGGCGGUAUAAGAUGAGUAUGCGUGAUAUUAGCUAGUUGGUAAGGUAACGGCUUACCAAGGCAACGAUAUCUAGGGGGUCUGAGAGGACUAUC